GCUUGCAAAGUCUGCAGUCACUCCCUGGGAGAAGAGAGGAGUGUUUGGAGACUACAGGAACAGAAAGAAUCCAGUCUUGAUUUCAACAGGGCCACGAUUUCACCCAAGUGCUUCACAUGAUGGAGAAUCAACAACAUCUUUUGGAGAACCAACAUGGUGUGCUGGGAUCAUAUCAUUUUGGAAAUGUGGGAUGACCAGCAGUGGCUUCAGAAUGUUUGAAUAAGGAACCAGACCUUCACGGAGCUGUAUGUUGAGCUAGCACCAACUUCCUAAUGCUAGAACACUUGGUUCUGACAAGCCAUGCCGUUUCAAAAGUGGGUUGCUAUUGACUUGUGGAAGCUGGCUAUUCCAGACAGCUAUAGGUCUGGUGCAAACCACUUUGGAGUUGGAAAGUCCACUGUCAGGGUCAUGGUUGUGCAGCUUUGUGAAGCAAUAAACACUGAUUUACUCACGGGUGGCUCCAUAAGAAAAGUUCCAGAAAUAAUUGGUGGAUUUGGGAAGAUGAUGUUUCUGAACUGUGCAGAGGGCACUGAUGGCACUCAUAUCCCAGUACUUUGCCAACCACAAGGUGAACCUAAGUAUGUAAAAUGAA